rnacentral:lncRNA from 1 species
AGGUUUUUGCCCACCGAGCCCCCACAGUCCUGAAGGGUAGUCAAUGGAGGGAGGAGGCGCCCCUUCCUGGCGCGCCAUCUGUUGCGGGGACGACCUUCGGCCGGAGCCUCGCGCAACAGCAUAGCCCACAUUAAGCUAGCAGAGAAAGAGAACCGCGUUCCUCCCGAGGUAUUGUCCGCUUUGGAGGUCGAGCGUACCCGGAGCCCUCCUCACGGUUUUGUCCCA